UAAAUCAAGCUUAGAUCUAUCACUUUAUGAAUACGAUGUGCUUCUAUUCAACACAUAUAUUUUAGCCUCCUCUAACACGAUGGCACAUUGGCAUCAACUCUAUUCAGUUUAAAACAUAUACUCAAUCUCAUCUUGACUAGUAACUAUUCCUCAUCCUCCUAUCAAGAGUUCUCUACAACAUUAUUAUUCCUUAUUCGACUCAUAAAGGAAAUUAUCACUUAUAAUUGACUGGGUGCAUGAUUGCAAUAACAUAAUCGGCCUCAUCACUAUCUCAUUUUCAUAGAUCUCUUUACCUCUGCAUACUUUCCUCUAACUCUGGGCAAUUUUACUACUACUGCUCGUGACCUCGUAACUCGUGCUACCUUUUCGAGCAAAAAUACUACCCAAGCUUUAAACAUACUUCCUCAUAAGGAUCUCAGCUGAAACAAGGCUUAGGGAAGAAAGUGCAACUCAUUUUUAGCUUUAACGCAUGAUUCAUAUGAACAUGAGCGCAUUCCUUUGAAACUCAACACUUAACUCACUCUUGGGCUUCUCUCAAACCCCUCUGGAGUCUCAUGACUUCCUCAAGAUUUUGCUAAGAGAAACUCAUUGAUAAAGAACUAAAUUUUCUUUUCAACCACCGCUAGCAUGAGGGGUAGUCGAAUGGAUAUGAGAACGCACGAGUUAGAAUAAGUCCCUAUGACAUAGCUCUAUUGCAUGAUUAAGAGUAUGAAAGAAGGAAAACUUUUCUUAAAUGUCUAUAGUCCCUCAUUUAUAGAAGUGGGGCCCUCACAACCAUAAAUAAGAUCCAACUUGACACGACUUCUUACACACCCUAGGACACUUGAACUAUGUGCUUUGAUACCAAGUUUGUCACGACCCGAGUCUAUAUCUUGGAUGUGGCUGGCACUCGAGAACCAUUGUUGGUCACCAAGCGAACCCUCAUUCUGGCUGACUACAAGCAGAAGACUAACUCAAGCAUACAAAAGCUUAAAAACUGAAUUAAAUUCAAAUAUCAACUUUAAAAUAAUAUAAACAAUACUGAAUAGAUAACUCUGAAUAAAAAUAACAUAUUCAACUGGCUAUAAAUAGGCAACUUAAGUCUUUAAAAUAUUUAACAAAAUAAAUCAACAUACUUCUGAGACUCUAUUGUGUAUCUAUGAAACCUCUAACUUACAAAGAUAGAAGUUGGGACAAGACUCAUGACAUCCUAACAACUGAUAUAACAAAAAGUACAAGUGGGACCCUUCAAAAAUAAGGAGGCUCACCAUAGCUAACUCGAACUGCAUGUGGCAUCAACGAAGGGCCUGUUGAUGAUCCUGAAUACCUGUAUCUACAUCUUGAAACGAUGCAGGCCAAAUGGCUCAGUACGUGGAAUGUACGAGCAUGUAAGGGGAAUUCUAACGCAUAACAUAAGCUUGAACUUGAUAAAAAAGAAACAUACUUACCUCUUCUCAACUCAAGAAUAAGAUACUCAACUCAAAGAUAAGAUAUUCAACUCAGUAAAAUAAGGCUCAACCUAAUAAUAAGAUAUUCAACUCAGUGAAAUAAGGCUCAACUCAAUAAUAGGAUAUUCAACUUAGUGAAAUAAGGCUCAACUCAAUAAUAAGAUAUUCAGCUCAGUGAAAUAAUGCUCAACACAAUAAUAGGAUAUUCAACUUAGUGAAAUAAGACUCAACUCAAUAAUAAGAAAUUCAACUCAGUGAAAUAAGGCUCAACUCAACAAUGAGAUAUUCAACUCAAUGAAAUAAGGCUCAACUCAACAAUAAGAUAUUCAACUCUGGGUACUCAACUCUGGAUACUUAACUCUGGAUACUCAACUUUGGAUACUCAACUCAAUAUAAAGCAACAAUAUAGAUGCAAUAUAUUGAAAGCUUUUAAAACAACGGAAAGUAGCUCAAUGUAUUGAGAAAUUCAAUAGUAACUCAGUUUGUAUGCAAGGAUACAAUAUAAACUAUAUUUGUAUAUAAAAAUACAAAAUAAACUCCGUGUAUAUAAAAAUAUCAAAAUAUCUCUGUGUAUUCGAGAAUACAAAAUAUCUUUGUAUAUUAAACUAUACAAAAUAUCUUUGUGUAUUAAAGAAUACAAAAUAUCUCUGUGGGAGUUUCUCUAACCGACAACCAUCACUAUGAGCUAUGUGAUGAUACAACAUUUUGCCUCACGCCACCAAGGCCGUCCUAUACCAUGUCGGGGGUAUAUAACCUAACUACUAUGUGGAUCUGCUAGUCUAUGCUAAAAAGCACUAAGGAAUCAUCUAAUAAGUAUGACCCUUUUCUAAAAAGGUUGAAUAAUUGAAGUAUGACUUUUAGUUAUUUUGGGUCUUUACUACUGAUGAAGACAACAGAGGAACUCAGGAGGUCAAUUGAAUUCUUCAUACUAAUAAGUUAUGUGAUGAUAUUAUAUGUCAAUAUUAUAAUAGAUAUUUGUGUGACAAAUUAAGGCAUCAUGUCCUUAAUAUAGAAUAAGAUUUGGAGAAGUGAUAAUCCCGCUAAGAAAAAUUAAUUUGUGUAAGCGGAUGAUAUAAAUUGUUGUGGUCAUUUCUCAAGCGAAUCUUGUGGCUAAUAAUAUGUGAAAGUGAAAAAUUGGGUGUUAGAUUUUUUGUGUUGUUGAGUACAUUUGUGCUAACUAAAAUUAUUGUGUCCUACACCCAAAUUGAAGAAGAAGAAAAAAUUAUAUAUUUUGGUGAUUUUAGAACUAAUUGAAGUUUUUAGAAUGAAAAAUUCUUCUUAAAUAUUCACAUCUAUAUAUUGUCAUUAUCUGAGGUGGUAUAUGAUUUUAAUAUUUGUGCUAGAUUGGUACUUAUGAAAUAGUUAUGAGGAAAAGUUGAGCGGAAAUUUUAUGUGACUUUGAUGAUAUGUUAAUAGUAUUUUUUUGAUGUAUUGUGACCAUGACCAACAGAUCAUCUCUACACUAGAGAAAAAUUUGAUGUGAAACUUAGAGGAAAGAAAUGAAAAGCAUUUUUGCUUCUUAAAUUGCCAUCUAACUGUGGUCAUGUACAUGAGCAUAUUUUUCUGUUAGCCUGCCUUUCUAUAACCAUUGUGGUGCUUAUGCUUGUGUAUGGUUUGAUUGUUGUGGAUUUCUUGGCGAAAUGGCUAGAUCUUGAAUAUGUAAUUAAUCUUAAUAGUCAUAUUAUUAUUUUGAAUUUAAGGUUAUUUAAUGACUCUUAUGUGAUGAAAAUGUUUUCUUGUUUCUAAUGAAUUGACAUUUCAAUAUUAACUUUUCAAUUUAAUUUUUGAGAAGUGUUCUGCUAUAUGGUCAUAUUAUUCUUUUGAAUUUAAGAUUAAUUAUGAUUUUUAUUAUGUGUUAAUAUUAAAAUAUUAAAAAAGGUGAGAUGACCUUUUCUUUGCCCCUAUAUAUGUUAGUUUUCUCCAUUUUGAGAGAGUAUAUAAAUUAAGAGAAAUGAAAAGUUUUUUUUUUUUGGAUUUAAUCUCUCUAUUAUGAAAUAUUUAAAAAUGUAGGGGUUUCUUGCUUAGGUUAUGAGUGUUAUACCUCUAUAUAUUAUGAAAUAUUUGAAAGUGUAGGUGUAUGGUACUAAGAUUGUGCUACAUGAUCUUAAGAAAAGAAAAAUAUAGGAUCCAAAUUUUUUUAUGGUAUAUAUGCUAAUAUAAUGUUUCAUAUACAUAUUUGUGGUAAUGAGUUGUGAUGUGAUAAAAUGCAAUAUUAGAGUUGAAAAGUAAAUAAAGUAUUGUUGAAUUUUUAAAAAGUCAUAAUAUUACUCAUCAUGUUCUUGUUGUUGAAUAUGAUAUUGCUUCUUGAUGCAUUAUUUUGGAAAGAAGUCAUUGGUGAUACAUGAGAGCUACCACAAGUAUAAUUCCCAAUAAAUUAGAGAUUUUGUUGUACUAGAGGGGUACAAUGACGGUUACAAAAUAAUUAUUGGUUAAUAGAAGUUCUAUACUUCACCAAUUAUUUUGUAAGUUUAAUCUUGUUUUAUCUCCUUAAUAUACCAUUUGAGAUAUGUAGGGGAUUGUUGGAGAAAUGAUUCUAAUAUCUCAAAAGGAAUUAUUUUUCCUAUUAUACUUGAAAGAAAAUAUUAUUUUAUGUCAAUUUAGUUGUUAUCUUUAUUUCCAUAUAUUCUAAUAUUGGUAGCUAUAUCACAAUAUUAAUUAUUAUAAUUACUCCUCCAUUAAUCACUCAUUGUUGACCGUUGGAGCAUUGAUGACAUUGAAUCAUUAUUUGUCAUUAGAGCAAUUGAUUAGAAUUACUAUUGUUGUCCUAAACGGUCUUUCAAAACUCAUUUUCUGGCUGAAUCCUCUUCUUAUAUAAAGUGUCAUCACAUCUUGUUUUUGAGUGAGACAAAGUGAAGUAUACAAAUAUUAUUUCUCCAAGAUUCUUGUGCUGGGUUUUAUAUUAAAGAAUCUUUGUCAGUUUCUGGCUCCUAAUUUUCUAUUAGAAGAGCUUGUUGAAUCUUGGGGGAUACACCUAUACCGGGUGAAAUAUCCUUAAGGACAGUAUUUUUUGAUACGCCUCAAGCUAUGAGAAUUUCCUAUAAGAGUUAUUGGUGAAGUACAAGCUUUGGUGAAUUCGGUACAAGUGUUCGUGAUGAAGGUAUUUUUCGUAAGAUUUCCAACACUUUUAGAUUUGCAUCCCUAACAUUUUUACACUUUCCAUGGUAAUAGCUUGAGCAAUCACCUAUGUAUCCCCUCUCUGUUCUGUCUUCUCCGGUGGAUUAUGAGAACAACCAUUGACCACCUUAAUUUUGUCACCGUUUCAUAUUAAAGUUAUGUUUAACGGUGUGUUUAAAAUUUUUGGAGGUAGAAAAUGAUUGCAAUGGAGUUAUAUUAUAUUAUAUAUGAAUUGGUAGAUAAUUAUAUUAUUUCUACAUUGAUUACCAAUGAAGUCUUAUUGUUGGAGGUAGGAGCUUAAUAUUUUUUAAUAAUAAUAUUCACCAGUAAUACGUGUACAUAGGGUGCUUGAAGUUGAUAAGAGAUUGAAAAUAUUACGAUUCUCUAUAAAUUAGGUCAACAUGUUGUUACUUCUCUCUUUGCACAAUUGAAAUUGAUUGAGCAUUUUAACAAAAUUAUUAUUCAUAUUGUCAUAUUUACAAAGUAUAUAUCCGCUAGCUUCACUUGUGCUUGGAUUUUUGUGCUGGAAGAUUAAGCUAAAUGUUAUUAAGAAGUAAGAAGUUUUCUAAACAUCAGACAAUUUGUGUAUUUUAAAUCAAUACCUUUUAUAACUACGUAUCAUCUACAAACUUUUUAUUUAGUCUCGAGUUAGUUAUAACUAUUUAAACACGAUAUUGGUCUUUUAUACUUCUCAUAAAAUAUAAUUUAGUAGUUUGAUUGAAUAAGAGAUGCAAAGUUUCUCUUUACCAUUUGAAUGGACAAGUCAAACGAGAGGUUUACUUUUACUAUCUAAUAAAUUAGUAAUUCCUCUUUUUUCAUUGUAUCUAUAAUUAUAUCGACAAGAAGUUCAUGUAAGUUUUGGGUUGUGGGUUGCCCAUGUGGACCGAUCCGAUCCGAUCUGAACCGACCCAAAAUUAUUUUCUGUAAAAUGGAUAAGUGAUAAUUUAAAAAAGGGGUGGGAAUAGUUACAUAGUAACUGCUCCAAUGUAAGCAAUCCAUUUUUUUAAAUAUAAGUUUUACGCUCUUCAGAAAGAAAAGAAAAAAAAAACAAACAAACAGAAAACUCAACAAAAUGUAACAUUUUCUUCUAAGACAAAAAGACAUCCAACAAAAGAGGCAUUUAGUUUGUGAAGCACAAUCUUUGUUUCCUAGUGAUACAAAGAUGGAUUUGGAGUGUAACACUCUGCUACUAGAAAGACUUGGAAUUUGAAAGAAACCGUAUUUGGAAAUAAUCAAAUUUGGAAAGUUUGGCAAAGUUAAGUUAAGUAUGAGUUUUUGGUAGACUUCAAACGAAUAUAACUCCUAGCUCAGGAUUAUUUAGGUUUUCUACAAGAUACCGUAGGAAAGAUCUUUGAAUUAUCUUUCCAACGCCGCCGAGAUUGAUAAAUUUUGAGUUCGUAUGAGUGAGAUAUGCUCAUUUGAAGUUGGGUUGUCUAGAUAAGGAAAGUCAAAACCAGGUUUUAGAAGGGUAUUAUGAUUUUUUCACUACCAAAUUAAUUAAAUUCAUUUUUGGUAAAUAAGUUGGGGUCUUAACUGAUUGGAUUCAGUUUAUGCUUCACAAAAAUAAGUUAGGGUUUUGAGAGAAGAGAAAAAAGAGGAGAAAAGAGGAGGAAAGGAGAAGAAAAGUUCAAGAUUCGUCAAGUUCUUGCGAGUUUGGUUGUGGAUUUUGCCAAGGAUUCAUGUGAUUUCACAUAUCGUUGGGUUCAUUCACCCACGCGCCAAACAUGUUUAUUUCGGUAUGAUUUUCAUCCUAAAAGGUUGAGACUUUGAUGUUCUUGGGUUGUGCUUUUGAAUUGCUUUCGUUCUUAAAUUUGGGACGAGAUUGAGGAGUUCUUGAGAAUUUAGGGUCGAUUGUUAGAGUUGUUUUAAGUUAGAUUCUUGUGUACAUAUAUUGGAUAUCUGGAUCUAAAGAGAAUUUGAGAAAAAGAAUUGAGUUUAGGCGAAUUGGGGUUAGAAAAUGAAAAAGGAAAAAGUCAGGCGAAUCUGGGUACCAGGUCCGCGUCACGGACCUGUUCCUCACGAUUGGGGAAUUUUUCUCGGUGUCACGGAGCGUUCACAGACCGUUCUGCCACAAAAUUUAUUUCAUGACCAAAUAUUUAAAUGCAUCUCAGCGUCGCGGACUUGCUUCCAGACAGUGAUUUCUUGAUCGUUUCUCAUGUUUAACUAUCUAAAAACACUCCUAAACAUCAUGAGAUCUUUCCUAUCACAGAUCACAAUCCUUGAAUACAUAAAUUCAAAUUCAAGGAAAGUUAAGCGCCAAGUCAAGAGAAGUUCAUAGAAUCUUCCAAAAGUAUUUUACAAAUGUUUUAACUUUGUUUUAAGACCUGAGUUUUGAGUUGAGUAAAGAGUAAAGAUUUGAAGUUCAUUUCUUCAAAAGAGUAUAUCGGGACUAUGUAUUCUCAAAGAGUAAAAUGUUUUCACAUUUAAACAAGAAAGAAACUGAGAUUUCCAAAAGAGCCUUUGAGCUAGUUUUCAAUAAAGAGUAAAUGCUUUCAUAAUUAAGCAAGAGAGGAAACUUUGAUUUCCAAGAGAGCCUUUGAGCUAAGUUUUGAGAAAUUAUCUCAAACCACAAAAGGAAGUUAUGUUUUUAAACAUAAGAGCUAGUAUUAUAUUUUGGGAGUAGUAUUGAGCAUCGAUAUGGAGGAGAGUUCAGACCACUCUAAGCCCCAUAAACCAUGUAGCUAUCAUGGUAGAAAAGGGUCAUACUUUUAGAUGAUUCCUUAGUGCUUUUUAGCAUACACUAGUGGAUCCACUUAGUAGUCAGGUUUUAUACCCUCAGCAAGAUAUAGGAUGGCCCUGGCAGCGUAAGGCAAAACGAUGUAUCAUCACAAUAGCUCUUAAGUGAUGGUUGUCGGUUAGAGAAACUCCCACAGAAGUAUUUUAUAUUCUUAUAUACACAGAGUUAAUUGUAUUUUUAUAUUGUAUCUCUGCAUACAUACAUAGUUGCUAUUGUAUUUCUAAAUACACAGAGUUGUUAUCCAUGUUUUAAAGGCCUUUCUUUAUAUUGAAUUCAUAUUAUUGCUUUAUAUUGAAAUGAGUUAAGUUGAGUUGAGUUGAGCCAUGUAUGUUCUUUCAGUUCCUUUCAAGCUUAUGUCUUGUUUAGUAUUCCCCUCGCAUGCUCGUACAUUCAAUGUACUGAUGCCAGUUGACCUGCAUCUUUUAUGAUGCAGAUUCAGGUAACCAGGACCAGCAUCCAGCGCAUCGUUGAUCCAGUUGAGCUUCAGAGUUGUGGUGAGCCUCCUUGCUUCCGGAGGAUCCCCUUUUUCAUUACUUUAUCAUUUUAGUUCAUUAGGAUGUCGUGGGUCUUGUCCCGACAUCCAUCUCAAUUGUUAGAGGCUUCAUAGACAGUUAGUUGAUAUUAGUUCUUAAGUCUUUCCAUUUCAGUUAGGUUUGAGACUUGAGUUGCCACUUUGGCCAGUGAAUGUUUAUUUAUAAUACAUUCUUAGUUAUUUUUAAGCUGUCAGUUUACUUUUAAAGUGCAGUUAUGUUGAGUUAAGUCUUCCGCUAAUAGUUAAGUCAGGCCAAGGGUUCGCUUGGGGACAACAAUGGUUCUCGAGUGCCAGUCUCGCCCAGGGUGUAGGCUCGGGGCGUGACAAACUUGGUAUCAGAGCACAGAGUUCAAGAGUCCUAGGGAGUCUAUGAAGCCGUGUCUGUAGAGUCCUAGUUAUCGGUGUGAAGCGCGUCACAUCUAUAAUUAGGAGGCUGCAACAUUUUAGGAACUAUCUCACUUCUUUCAUACUCAUUUCGUCCGAUAGAGUGUAUCUUUAUAAAAGUCUCUUUAUAACUCGUGCUUGCGCAUGUCUUUCGGAUCAUGCCUCUAUGAAGAGCUGUCAGAGGUCGUCCGGCUAGAAGAAAUGUUGAGCCAAGUUGUGACCAAUCAAGUUGGGCAAAGAUAAGAGAAUUUCUCUCGCUUAAGCAGGAUUCUUUGAGCGUUCACAGUCUGAAGUUCACACAAAUUUUACGCUAUGCUCCGGAGAUGAUUGCUAACAUAAGGAGCAAGAUGAGUUUAUCCGUUGUUGGGUUGUCUCGCAUGUCAAGCACGAAAGGCAAGGCAGCUAUGCUGAUAGGGGAUAUAGAAAUAGCAAGGCUAAUGAUCCAUUUGCAACAAGUUAAGGAGGACAAGUUGAGGGAUAUGGAAGAGUUUAAGAAUAAGAGGGAAAAGACAUCAGGGAAUGAGUCCGGGCAUUAAAAGAGUAAUGUGAACCGGUCUUCCUUCCAACAGAAACAAAAGGGACCUGCUUCAUCAUCUGCUAGUGCACCUGCACCAAAGAACAAAGGUGAGUACAAUAGUCAGAAUUUCAGAGCUAAACCUGCUUAUUCUCAAGGUAGUAUGGCACAAGGGAGUAGUAAGCCUCCUGCAUGUGCUAAGUGUGGUAGGAGCCACUCAGGGAUGUGUCAUGAGGGCUCCACUGGUUGCUUCAAGUAUGGCCAGAACGACCAUUUUAUGAGAAAGUGUCCUAAGAACAAGCAAGGUAACGGUAAUGGGGGCAAUAGAGCCCAGUCUUCUUCAGUUGCUCCACCAGACAGAGAUGCAUCUAGAAGAGCUACUUCAGGGGCAGGCAGAGGAGGAAACCGUCUUUAUGCUAUCACCAAUCGCCAAGAGCAAGAGGAUUCGACAAAUGUUGUCACUGGUAUAAUCCAGGUCUUUAACUUUGAUAUUUAUGCUUUGCUAGAUCCAGGAGUGAGUUUAUCCUUUGUAACUCCUUACGUCAUGAUGAAUUUUGAUGUUCUUCCUAAGAAACUUAUUGACCCCUUUAGUGUUUCUACACCUGUUGGUGAGUCUAUUCUAGCAGAGAGCGUUUAUUAUGGUUGUACCAUUUCCGUCAAUCACUAGAGCACCAUGGCUGAUUUAGUUGAGUUAGACAUGGUAGAUUUUGAUGUCAUUCUAGGUAUAGACUGGUUUCAUGCCUGUUAUGCAUCAAUAGAUUGUAGAACUCGAGUAGUCAAGUUCCAGUUUACAGUGAACCAGUUAUAGAGUGGAAGAGUAGUUCAGCAGUGCCUAAGGGUCAUGUUAUUUCAUACCUUAAGGCAAGAAAGUUAGUCUCCAAGGGGUGUGUCUAUCACUUUGUCCAAUUUAAUGACUCUAGUGUUGAGAUACCUCAUAUUCAGUUAGUUCCAGUAGUAAAAAGUUUCCAGAAGUCUUUCUAGAUGAUCUUCCCAGAGUCCCUCCUGAGAGAGAAAUAGACUAAGGUAAAGAUAUUCUUCCCAAUACUCACCUUAUAUCUAUUCUGCCAUAUAAGAUGGCACUAGCAGAGUUGAAAGAGUUGAAAGAGCAGUUGAAAGACCUCCUAGAGAAAGGUUUCAUUCAACUAAGUGUCUCACCUUGGAGCGCUCCGGUCUUAUUUGUGAGGAAGAAAGAUGGUUCCCUUAGAAUAUGUAUAGAUUACCGUCAUUUGAACAAGGUUACUAUAAAAAAUAAGUAUCCUCUUCCGAGAAUUUAUGAUCUCUUCGAUCAACUUCAAGGUGUCACUAACUAAUGCACCUGCAGCGUUCAUGGACCUUAUGAAUAGAGUAUUCAAGCCUUAUUUAGAUAUGUUUGUUAUCGUGUUCAUUGAUGACAUUCUAAUCUAUUCGAGGAAUGAAGAAGAUCAUGUUAGUCAUCUCAGAAUAGUUCUCCAAACUCUAAAGGAUAGAGAGUUGUAUGCCAAGUUCUCUAAGUGUGAGUUUUUGCUUGAGUCUGUGGCAUUCUUAGGCCACAUUAUUUUCGGUGAUGGAAUUAGAGUUGACACACAAAAAAUAGAGGAAGUGCAGAAUCGACCUAGACCCACAUCUCCAACAGAUAUUAGGAGUUUCUUGGGGUUGGCUAGAUAUUAUAGAAGGUUCAUAGAGGGGUUCUCAUCUAUUUCAUCCCAUUUGACCAAGUUGACUCAGAAAACAGUGAAGUUUCAAUGGUCUGAAGCUUGUGAGAAAAGCUUUCAGGAAUUCAAAAGGAGGUUGACUACUACCCCAGUAUUGACCUUACCAGAAGGUACGCAAGGCUUUGUUAUAUAUUGUGAUGCGUCUAGAGUUGGUUUGGGUUGUGUGUUAAUGCAGAAUGGCAAAGUUAUAGCUUAUGCCUCCAGACAUUUGAAAGUUCACGAGAAGAACUACCCAACCCAUGACUUAGAGUUGGUUGUCGUAGUAUUUGCUUUGAUAAUAUGGCGUCAUUAUUUGUAUGGUGUUCAUGUAGAUGUAUUCACUGAUCAUAAGAGUCUUCAGUGUGUGUUUAGUCAAAAAGAGCUUAAUUUUAGACAGAGAAGGUGGUUAGAGUUACUCAAAGAUUAUGACAUGAGUAUUCUUUAUCACCCAGGUAAGGCUAAUGUUGUUGUUGAUGCCUUGAGUAGAUUAUCUAUGUAUAGCACCGACCAUUUUGAGGAAGAUAAGAAAGAGCUAGCAAAAGAUGUGCACAGACUUGCACAAUUAGAAGUUCGAUUAAUGGAUUUCACAGAAGGAGGAGUAGUGGUGAUGAAUGGGGUUGAAUCAUCAUUAGUGUUAGAAGUGAAAGAGAAGCAAAACCAAGAUCCUAUUUUUCUUGAAUUGAAGGUAAAUGUUCAUAAGCAAAAAGUAAUGGCUUUUGAACAAGGAGAGAUGGUGUAUUGAGGUAUCAAGGUAGAUUGCGUAUACCAAGGGUGGAUGAACUCCAAGAAAGGAUCAUGGAAGAAGCACAUAGCUCCAGAUAUUCUAUCCAUCCGGGUUCCACAAAGAUGUAUCGUGACUUGAGGGAAGUAUAUUGGUGGAAUAGUAUGAAGAAAAGUAAUGCUGAGUUCGUUGCAAAAUGCCCGAAUUGUCAACAAGUUAAAGUAGAGCACUAAAGGCCCGAUGUUAUAGCUCAGAAUAUAGAACUUUCGGAAUGGAAGUGAGAGAUGAUCAAUAUGGAUUUCAUCACAGGUUUACCAAGGUCUCGCAGGCAACAUGAUUCGAUUUGGGUGAUUGUAGAUUGAAUGACUAAAUCAGCCUAUUUCUUGCCGAUAAAACCUACCCAUUCAGUAGAGGACUAUGCCAAGUUGUAUCUUCAAGAGGUAGUUAGACUUCAUGGGGUGCCAGUUUCGAUUAUUACAGACAGAGGUGCGCAAUUUACUGCACAAUUUUGGAAGUCAUUCCAGAAAGGCUUGGGUUCAAAGGUGAACUUAAGUACUGCUUUUCAUCCUCAGAUAGUCAAGCAGAGCGCACUAUUCAGACUCUAGAAUAUAUGUUGAGGGCUUGUGUGACUGAUUUCAAGGGUAAUUGGGAUGAUCACCUACCUCUCAUUGAGUUUUCUUAUAACAACAGUUACCAUUCUAGCAUUCAGAUGGCUCAUUAUGAAGCUAUUUAUGGGAGAAGGUGUAGAUCUCCAAUUGGAUGGUUUGAGGUUGGUAAAGUUGGGUUGAUAGGACAAGACUUAGUUCAUCAAGCUAUGGAGAAAGUGAAGGUUAUUCAAGAGUGGUUGAAAAUAGCGCAGAGUCGUCAGAAAUCCUAUACAGAUGUUAUGAGAAGGGACUUAGAGUUCGAAGUAGAUGAUUGGGCCUACUUGAAAGUUUCACCCAUGAAGGGUGUUAUGAGAUUUGGUAAGAAGGGGAAACUUAGUCCCCGAUAUAUUGGUCCUUACAGAAUAUCCAAGAGGAUUGGCAAUGUAGCUUAUGAGUUGGAGCUACCCCAAGAGUUAGCAGUGGUUCAUCCGAUAUUUCACAUCUCCAUGUUGAAAAAGUGCAUGGGCGAUCCUACUGAAGAUAUUGGUAUCAAGGAUAGUUUAUCAUACGAGGACAUUCCUGUUCAGAUUCUAGAUCGCUAAGUUCGCAAGUUGAGGAAUAAAGAAGUAGCAUCAGUCAAAGUGCUGUGGAGAAAUCAAUUUGUUGAGGAAGCUACUUGGGAAGCUGAAGAGGAUAUGAAGAAGAGAUACCCACAUCUCUUAAAAUCAGGAGAAGCUCCAACUUAAAGUACUAAUCCUUUUCUUGGCUUUUAUUUUAAGUUGGCAUGUUGUAUUUACAUUUUGCUUGUUGGGUGUUUGAGCUAGAUGUUAGAUGUUACGCCAUUAACCUGCUAAGAUUAAUCUCAUUCGAGAAUGAAUGUUCCCAAGGGGGAGAUAUUGUAACACUCUUCUACUAGAAAGACUUGGAAUUAGAAAGAAACUGUAUUUGGAAAUAAUCAAAUUUGGAAAGUUUGGCAAAGUUAAGUCAAGUAUAAGUUUUGGAUCAACUUCAAACGACCAUAACUCAUAGCUCAGUAUGAGUUAGGUGUUCUACAAGAUACUGUAGGAAAUAUCUUUGAAUUAUCUUUCCAACGCCGCCGAGUUUGAUAAAUUUCGAGUUCCUAUGAAAGAGAUAUACCCAUUUGAAGUUGGGUUGUCUAGAUAAGGAAAGUCAAAACCAAAUUUUAGAAGGGUAUUAUGGUCUUUUCACUAACCAAUUAAUUAAAUUCGUUUUUGGUAAUUAAUUUGGGGUCUCAACUGAUCGGAUUCAGUUUACGCUUCACAAAAAUAAGUUAGGGUUUUGAGAGAAGAGAAAAGAAGAGGAGAAAAUAGGAGGAAAGGAGAAGAAAGGUUCAAGAUUCGUCAAGUUCUUGCGAGUUUGGUUGUGCAUUUCGCCAAGGAUUCAAUCCUACGAGGUAUGUGAGUUCACAUAGCAUUGAAUUCGUUCACCCACGCGCCAAACAUAUUUAUUUCAGUAUAAUUUUUGUCCUAAAAGAUUGAGACUUUGAUGUUCUUGAGUUGUGUUCUUAAAUUGCUUUCUUUCUUGAAAUUUUGGGAUAAGAUUGAGGAGUUCUUGAGAGUUUAAGGUCGAUUGUUAGAGUUGUUUUGAGUUAGAUUCUAGUGUACAUAUUGUCGCACCCUAUUUCGAACUGGCCGAAACAGUUCACAACAUAAUAUGGCUGUAACUCUAAAUUUUUGAAAAAAUUAUUUUGUUUUUGUUUUAGAGUCGCCACCUAAAUUUUAAGGAAAAUAUUUAAAAUACCAUUUUUUAUAUGUAAAUGUAAACUCUGUUUUGAUGUGCGAAACCAGUGAGAUUCUGAUUAAGGGUUUUGGUUACUCAAGGGGAAGGUAUUAAGCAUCCCUCCGAAGAUAGUCCUUAAACUCAAUUUUAGAUAAAAUUAAUAAGGAAAACUCAUUUAUUUAUUUGUUUUAAAAUCAAUGAUAAGUUAAUUUCAUUAGUUUAAGAAAAAAAGAGUAAAAUACUAGGUAUGACAUAUAUACGUCUACAAAAUAAUAGUAUAUUUAUCCUAUAGUAAAAUAAAUAAGUAAAUAAAUAAAUGCACUUAAAAUGAACGAAAAUUUUAUAUGUUGGAAAAUACAGAUGUGUCCUAUAUAAAUUUAUCCAAAAUAUAUAAAUGUUGAGUUUAAAAGGUAUGGAAAUUUGUCAUUUUUAUUUAUAUAAAAUUAGGACGUAAAAAAUAAGAUAAUAGUCGGAAUAAGUAUAUAAUAGUAUGUGUAAUAUAUGUUUUAGAAUAAAAAUAGAUAAAAUGGAGUGUUCUAAAUAUAAACAAAUAAAAUAAAUAAUAAAGGUUCUAAAUGCAAAAAUAUUUUAUAAAAUUUGUGAUUUUAGCUAGAUUUAUUAUAAAGUGUAGUAUAUACAUGUAAGUUGUUUUAAAACAUGUGAACAUUUAUUAUUUUAUUUACAUGUAUAGACGAAUUGACGAUAGAUUAGAUGUAGUAAAUAAUAUGUACAUUUAAGUGUAGGGAUUUAUGAAUUAUAAAAAUAAAUAAGUGAAAUUUGUAAAAGUGAUAGUAGAUAUGAGAAAAAUAAUAUAAAGUAAAGCAAAAUAAUAGGCUAUGUGUAGAGAAAACUAAAUAUAAAAUAUAGAAUUUAUACCUUUACGUGCAUGACAUAUAUAUGUAUGUACCUUGUAUUUUGAACAUACUGGCAUAUCUAAAAUCUUGAAAUAGCAUGUUAAGAAAUUAAUUAAAAUAUUUUUAGCAAUAUUUAAUUUUAAAAUAGAGAUAGUGAUAAUAGUAAAAUAUAAUUUCCUUAUAAAGUGGUUGAUCUAAAUAUUAUAAAAUAGUCCUCUAACUAUUGGGACUUAUUCUAUAAUUAUAUUUAUUUUUUUGUUAAUAAAAUAUAUAGACCUACUUCCUUACUUGUUUUCAAAAAAUAUGUAUCUCUAAAGGUGAUCACAGCCAGGGUUAGCUCAAGGCUAGCAAGUAGCGAACCUGAGACCAAAGGUAGGCUACUAUGCAAGAAAGCCUAGUUUAAGGAGGAAAAAGAGUGACGAACUCAUUUUUCUUCAGUCAUAGCCUUAAAUAUUUCUAAAGGGUGGUUAUUUUAGCCAUUAAAUUAGCUUUAAAAUAUUUGGAGGUCCUAAGCGAUGAGUAGGCCUAAAUGAAUAUUAUUUUAGCCCUUUUGAAACUUCAUUUGGAAACUUUUAAGCUAUAAGCCCCUCUUUUCAACUUAAAAGGGCUGAAAGAAUGUUAUAAGAGAAAAUGCUAACCCAUUUUUAAGAAAAUAUUUUUUGUAUCAUUUAUUCUAAAAAGUGUUUCAACUAAAUUUAUAAAUAAUAUUGGCUCCAUAAAUAAUCUUCAAAAUAAAAGACAAGCAAUAUAUCAAAAAAACUUGUAAGUAAAGGUUAGCCAACAUAUCAAAACAACAUAAGUAGGACAAAGAAAGAAAGACUAAGAAAAAUAUUGGACUACUAAUUUGCGAGACUCCAAGCGUUGCAAUGAUCCUAAUUGUUGUUGGCCUAAUACUUUAGGCCAAUAACGAGUUCCAAAGUAGAAACUUCAGCCCUCGGAUUGUACAUGGAAAAUAUGAGAAAGAAAAAGGUUAGAAUCAUGUGUCAAACAAUAACAGGACUAAAUAGUGAACAUAUGCAAUUUUUAUAGUUACGCAGUAAAACUUCAAUGGAUUUCCAUUAAAUUUAUUCAUAUGUUGAACAGGGAGCAUAAACCUCACAUAUGUUUUCGAGACUUUAGGAGAUACAUGACAUAUUAAUAAAGCACACCAAUUAGAGAAUUUAGUUUUAAAAUACAGGCCAAAACAUCCAUUUUCUUACUAAUUUAUCAUGCUAAUAAAAUAAAAAUACAAAAAUAAACAUUCAAAAUCUCUAUGAAAAUUUCUUGCACAACCAUAGUUCAUAUUCUUUGAUAGAACUAGGAUUAAACAGAGCAAGAAUUUACCAUUUAUAGUCGCUAUCUCUAAAGUGAAAAAAUAGUCAAUUUUUGACACAUGAAACGUGGAAUGAUUAUUAUUUUUUAUAUAUCACAACAAGAAAACAGUAAUGGUACAACGAAAAAUAACAAUGGCACUUUGAGCAGAAAACUAAAGAGAAUACUUACACGAAACUAAGGCGAACUUUAAAUAGCAAUCACAUAUUCAACUGAUUGAGUUCGUAGUUGAUUUUCUAACACUAAUUGCUUCUUAACUAAAAUAUGAUGAGACGGAUUUCAGCACCCAUUUAACUCAGAGGAUUAAACAAAAAUGAAUGUUCAAUAUUACAAUGGCAACAACAAAAAAUCAGUCGGCAAAGGAUUACCAGACAUUCAAACAGUAAGAAUGUAGGGAACUAUGAAAAAAUAUCCAGAAGAAUACAAAAUGAUGGGAGAAAAACAAAGCUUCAUACAAGACGAUCGAAAAAAAUAAUCUAAAAGAACGAGGUAGUGUACCUUUUCAAGGGCAGCAAAUAGGGGCUUUGACGUCAAGAUUCCAACUUCAAACUACCUUGAACUCGGGUUCAAAACCGAAGGAGAAGGAGAUGAGAUGAUCUUUUGAACUCUUUGAAAUAUGUAUUGCAUUUUUUUCUUUUUUGCUCGAUCUCUCUCUGAUUUUCGAAUAGUUUUUCUGGAUGAUUUUCAAUGGGAACCAAAUGGCUUUCUAUAGCCGAUUUUGGGAUAGACUCACACUCUAAAACCCAUUAGAUUAAGGCAUAACCAAUCAAAAUCCAACGGUUCUUUGCGUCCCUCAACUUUUCAGGCCUAGCAAUGGUGGUAGUUGAGAUUUCUAGGCCUGCCUUGAUAAAAAAAGGAUGGAAACGAUCUAAAGUUGAUAGGAAGUGGUUGUGAUUGAUGGACGGCAGAGGGGCGUAGUUGAAAACCACCGGAUAUUGCCAUUUUCCGGCGGUCUGAAGUUGAUGGGAGAGGAGCGUGGAGAAGUGGUCAUGGCAGGAGAACGUUGGGAAGGAGGAGAGUUGUACGGGGGAGACGUUUGGGGAAAUGAUGUUCUGGGAAAGAGAACCUGGGGAAGAGGCGGGUCAUGGAAAAGAUUGAAAAAGUUGAAGCGGUGGAUGUACUAUUUUUGGGGAGAGAUGAAAAUCUUUAUUUAAUUUAGGUCGUCCGAUCGUUUGAUUGGACGGUCAAGUUAAAUCAGGAAUUAAAAGGAAAAGUUAUAUAUAUAUUAAAUAAAGGUAAAAGCUUAAUUAACUAGGACCGUUAGAUUUAAUCGCAGGGUCAAGAUUUAAGCUAAAGAAGCACAAUCCAUGUGCUUGCCUACAUGGCAUACACGGAUUGGCCGGUUUAGAAGGACUUGGAUUGCCAAAUUUGCUCAAAUUAAAUCCAUUAUAACCUCUAAUUUAUUAAAUAGUCAUAAUUUGUUAAAUUAAAAAUAAUUAUUUUGCAAUACUAGCUUAUUUGAUAAAAUUAGUCAUUCGAAAAAUAAAAUUAAUAUAAAUUAGUAAGUCAUUAAUUAAUUAAGCUCCCUAAUUUUGAAAAAAAUAUCGAAAAAUAUUUAUUGUAAUAGUAAAAAUUAUAUUUAAUUAGAAAAACCGAGUCAACCAUUAAGAACAAUAUUUAUACGACAUAAAAUUUAAAAAAUGAGAAAGUAAAUAGUAAUAUUUACAUAAUAUAUUUAAUUUUAUAAGAAAUAAUAUUUAUCAAAUAAAUUUAUCAAAUAAAAUAAAUUAUUAAAAUCCUUUUCGUAUUCCUAUAAAAAUUUCAUAACACAUAUAUUAUUUAUUUAUUAUUAUUAUUAUUAUUAAAACUUUAGUUAAAUGUGGAGAGCCAAAGUUGGGUGUCAACAGCUUGCCACUUUCUUUGUCCAUGGAAGAGAGUAAAGAAGAUGUGGACAAAGAAAUAUUGACACAAUCCAAUUUUAGGCGACCCGCCAAAAUAUACUUUGAGCAAUAACUUGACAAGAAUGUUUAUGGAGUUAUGGCCGAACACUGGCUUCUGAGCUGCCUACAUAUCUCAGGUUUCAUGAGAAAUCAGGCCAUAUGUAGUUCGAGAGUGUAGGAACAUAGCAAAUUUUAUUAAAAAUUUGCCCCAGUAUCGCAUUAUGGUAAUACUAAAAUCUUUUGGUGGUGAGGUAUGAAGAGAUUAGCAUGAAUAGAAGGACGAGAUUUAGUUCUUAAGAAACUUGAACAAGAAAUGCUCCGUCGCAAUUUCUACUGAUGACUAUGGUAGAGAGAAGAAUUUUCAAAAAAUUGCCCCAGUGUCGAGUUAUAAUGAACUGAGACUUGAGAGAGCUAUAAGUAAGAUUUAAAUCUAAACUUCUGAAAGUUGAGUCGAGUUGAGUUUUGAAAGUGAAUCGUUGACGUAGCUAGUGAUGCUUGACAUUGCACUAACUUGCCCUAGUUUGCUUCUUAGAGGGAGUUCCUCGUUGUAAUGUGUUGUCCUGCAAAACCUUUAAAAGGGUGAAAAGUACCUGUUGUGGUUCAAAAAAUUAUAAAUUGAAAUAGUAAUGUAAAGAGUAGAGUGUAGAUGUCCAAAUGAUUGUUGAUGUCUCUUUUUGUAUUGUGAAUGUGAUGUAGGUAAAGUAACUUGAAAUGUAGGGGCCCUCGACUGGCGGGACUGUUGUAAUGUAAAAGGCUGCAUCUGGUUGUGUAAAGCUUGUAAUGUAAAGCCUCCAGCUGGCGGGGAUGUUGUAAUGUAAAAACAUGGUUGUGUAAAGCUUGUAAUGUAAAGCCUCUGGCUGGCGGGGAUGUUGUAACGUAAAAGCAUGUAUCUGAUUGUGUAAAACUUGUAAUGUAACAUUUGAUUGUUGGCGUAUGACAGCGUCGCUAUACUUGCAUUCCCCCGGUUGGUGGAGCUUCGGUGACGUCACUAUGAUGUUAGUCUCCGAUUGGCGGAGUGUCGUUUCUUUUGCUUAUAUACAGGCUCCGAUUGGCGGAGUUCGGUCGACGUUUGUUAUGUAUAGCCUCCGGUUGGCGGAGUUUGACAAAGUUUGCUAUGUACAGCCUCUGGUUGGUGGAGUUUGACGAUGUUUGCUAUGUACAGGCUCUAGUUGGCGGACUUUGAUGAUGUUUGCUAUGUACAGCCUCCGGUUGGCGGAGUUUAACGAUGCUUGCUAUGUACGAUCUCCAAUUGGUGGACUUUGGCGAUGCUUGCUAUGUACAAUCUACAAUUGGUGGAGUUUGGCCGAUGUUUGCUAUGUACAGCCUCCGAUCGGUGGAGUUUGAGUGACAUUUUCUAUGUACAAUCUCAGACUUGUGGAGUUUGGCACUGUUUGACGGUGAUCUCCGAUUGGUGGAGUUGUUGAUGAGGUUAGUUUACAAGCUCCAAUUGGUGGAGCUAUUUUGACAAAAAGCUGACUAUUCUAUUUUCCUAUGAAGAUCCUCUUUCUUCAGUAUUUGGUUUGGAUCCUGAGCGUACCUGCAAAAUUUGAAUGAAAUGUUCUUAGAUAUAAGAUGCAAGUUGAAGUACUUUCAGGAAAUAAAGUAGGGAAAGAGUAUUUUGGCUCAUGAUUGUGAUAACUCGAAUGGUAUUUUUGGUCAUGCCCCGAGACUUGAUGUUAUUUUAUUUAUUCAUGUGUUCCUAUACUCAAAGAAAAUUUUAGUCUGGGAAGGGGUGUUGAUUUGCAUUGACUCGUGGACUGAAGCCUCGUUAGUAGAAUCCUUCGACAUCUUCGUAUCCCGUAUGUAGUUUCUCAACCUAGAGACUAGGUAGGUGGAAGAGUAGACAAAAUCUUUUUGAAAGGAAUUAGCUUGUUUUUCUAGAAACUAAGUAUACUACGUAUAUAUUAGGUAUAUAUAUAUAGUAACUCUCCAGUGUUUUUAGAUUAUGACAUAUUUCGAAGUCCAUCGAGCUUUCCAUUUUGUUGACUAUAUCUAACAUAGUCUUCCUAUAGCUUUUACUCUUCUGAUGAAGCUUUCCUAGCUCUUUUGCAGACACUGCGACAAUUGAUAUUCUUCAUAUUCUGAGGUUACGCUAACUAUGAGGAAGUGUUUCCUAAGGGUAAGAAAAAAAAAUAUAAAUUAUGUAAUGCAUUGAUCGAGCCUGACUCAAGCUGCCUACGUAUCCCUAAAGUAGGAAUCAUAUUGCAACGUAAUUCGAAUACAAGUGAGAGAAAUAGAAGUAUGUAAUGUAAUGACCGAGCUUGACUCAAGCUGCCUUCUUAUCCAAGUGGAAUCAGGUCGUAACGUAGUUCGAAUACAAUAGGAAAGUGAAAAAUAUGAAAUGGAAUGACCGAGCCUGACUCAGGCUGCCUACGUAUCCAAGAGGAAUCAGUUCAGGACGUAGUUUAGAUACAAUAGAAAAGAGAAAAAUGCAAGGGAAAAGUAAGAAUAUGUAAUGCAAUGACCGAGCCUGACUCGGGCUGCCUACGUAUCCAACCGGAAUCAGGACUCUGGCUUCUCCUUGGUGAGGAAAGAUCUUCUUCAAUACUAACUGCCCUGGUGUGAACUGUCGAGGUUUGACUUUCUUGUUGAAUGUUUUGGUCAUUAUGUUCUGAUAGAGUUGACCAUGAACAACUGCGUCCAUCCUCUUUUCAUCGAUGAGCACCAAUUGUUCAUGGCUGCUACGUAUCCAUUCUGCAUCAUCUAGACCAACUUCUUGGAUGAUCCUUAAAGAUGGUAUUUCCACCUCAGCAGGUAUUACUGCCUCUGAACCAUAAACCAACAUAUAAGGAGUUGCCCCAAUGGAUGUUCUAAUUGUGGUGCGAUAACCGAGUAAAGCAUAUGGUAGUUUUUCAUGCCAAUGCAUGUGACUGUCCACUAUUUUCCUUAAGAUCUUCUUGAUAUUCUUAUUUGCAGCCUCAACUGCUCCAUUCAUCUGUGGCCGGUAAACCGUGGAAUUUCGAUGAGCAAUCUUGAACCUUUCACAAGUUUCCCUCGUAAGAUCGUUGUUGAGGUUGGUUGCAUUAUCUGUUAUGAUUGAUUCUGGAAUUCCAAACCGACAAACUAUGUUGUUGCGAACAAAGUCUGCUACUACCUUCUUAGUCACUGCCUUGUAUGUCAAAGAUUCGACCCAUUUUGUGAAAAAAUCGAUAGCUAUCAGGAUGAAACGAUGUCCAUUUGAUGCAGGAGGCUCUAUGGGUCCAAUAACGUCCAUGCCCCAAGCAACAAAGGCUAGGUGGAACCCAUCACAUUGAGCUCAUUCGGUGGAACCCGUAUAAAAUCUCCAUGCACUUGACACUAAUGACACUUUUGCACAUACCGGAUGCUAUCUCUCUCCAUGGUCAUCCAAAAGUAUCUAGCUCUUAAAAUCUUCUUUGCCAAAGUGAACCCAUUCGUGUGAGGUCCGCAGAUUCCUGCAUGUAUUUCUUCCAAAAGCCUUGUCGCUUCUGCGGCGUCGACGCACCUCAGCAAUCCUAAAUCUAAAGUUCUCCUAUAUACGAUUUCUCUGUUAAGGAAGAAAUGAUUGGCCAUCCUCCUCAAAGUCCAUUUUUGCUUGCUUAUGGCAUUUUCAGGAUAUUCUUGUGCUUCUAUAAAUCUUCUGAUGUCAUAGUACCAUGGUUUUCCAUCCAAUUCCUCAUCUACAUGAAAAUAGUAUGCAUGCUGAUCAUGUAUCUCUACAUCAAUAAGGUCAAUGUAAUUUUUGUUUGGAUGUUGAAUCAUUGAGGACAAUGUUGCCAAAGCAUCGGCAAACUCAUUUUGAGCUCGAGGGACAUGCUUGAACUCAAUCCUUGUGAACCUCCUACUCAACUCCUUUAUGUAAUGCAAAUAAGGCAGGAUCUUGACAUUCUUAGUGGUCCACUCUCCUUGCACCUGGUGAACUAAUAAGUCGAAAUCUCCUAUCACCAAAAGUUCUUUGAUGUUCAUGUCGAUGGUCAUCCUGAGUCCGAGAAUACAAGCUUCAUAUUCCGCCAUGUUGUUGGUACAGUAAAACCUGAUCUUUGCUGACAUCGGGUAAUACUGACCUGUUUCUGAAAUUAAGAUUGCUCCUAUUCCAACUCCAAUAGAAUUUGAUGCUCCAUUAAAGAACAUCAUCCAUCCAUCGUAUGACUCUGAUAUGCCUUCUCCUACAAACAAAACCUCUUCAUCAGGGAAGUAGGUCGUGAGCGGCUUGUAAUCCUGGUCCCUCGGGUUUUCUGCGAGGUGAUCAGUCAGGGCUUGUCCCUUGACGGCCUUCUGUGUCACAAACACAAUAUCAAACUCGCUUAACAGAAUUUGCCACUUUGCCAGUUUACCUGUAGGCAUUGGUUUCUGAAAGAUGUACUUGAGUGGAUCCAUUCUUGAUAUAAAGUAUGUGGUGCCUAAAUUUUUGCGCGAUCCAAGUCAAAGUGCAACACGUUCGUUCCAACAAGGUGUAUCUUACCUCGUAUGGUGUGAAAUUUUUGCUCAAAUAGUAAAUGGCUUGCUCUCUUCUGUGCCCCAAUACACACCCAAAUGCAUUAUCCAUGAUAGAUAAAUACAAUAGAAAAGGCUUUCCAGGUUUCGGUGGGACCAAUACUGGUGGGUUGGACAAGUAUUCUUUGAUUCUAUCAAAAGCCUUUUGGCAUUCCUCUGUCCAUUUUGUGGCAGCAUCCUUCUUCAGUAAUUUGAAUAUGGGUUCACAUAUCACUGUGGAUUGAGCUAUUGAACCGACUGAUGCAAUUUAGUCUUCCCAAGAAACUCAUCACGUCAUUCCUGGUCUUGGGUGGAGGUAGCUCUUGGAUUGCCUUUAUCUUUGAUGAAUCCAACUCAAGGCCUUUCUUGCUAGCGAUGAAUCCCAAUAGUUUUCCCGCGGGUAAUCCAAAUGCACACUUUGCUAGAUUCAACUUCAGAUUAUACUUACGCAACAUCUCAAAGAACUUUCGUAAGUCAUCCAGGUGGUCUGAACUUCCUUUGAAUUUGAUAACGACGUCAUCCACGUACACUUUAAUUUCCUUAUGGAUCAUAUCAUGAAAAAGGGUAGUCAUAGCCCUCAUGUAGGUUGCACCAGCAUUUUUGAGACCAAAAGGCAUUACUCUAUAGCAAUGCACCCCCCACGGAGUGAUAAACAUUGUUUUCUCAACAUCAUCUUUGUCCAUUAGUAUUUGGUGAUAUCCUGCAAAGCAAUCGACAAAUGAUUGCAACUCAUGUUUUGCAUAAUUAUCGAUGAGUAUAUGAAUAUUUGGCGAGGGAAAUCAUCCUUAGGACUGGCUCGGAUGAGAUCUCGAUAGUCCACACAUAAUCUAAUCUUUCCAUCUUAUUUUGGCACAGGCACAAUGUUUGCUAACCACGUGGGGUAAUUUGCAACCCUCACAAUUUUCGCCUCAAUUUGCUUAGUUACCUCCUCCUUGAUCCUUAAACUCAAAUCCGGCUUGAAUUUUCCUGUCUUUUGCUUAACGGGUAGACAAGUGGGAUCAGUUGGUAAUUUGUGCGAGACAAUAUUAGCGCUUAAUCCUGGCAUGUCAUCAUAAGAUCAAGCAAAUACGUCAAUGUACUGCUUAAGCAACCCUAUUAACUGUUGAUUUCUUUUAGCCUCUAAAUAUAUGUUAACUCGUGUUUCCUUCACGAGAUCCUCAUCUCCUAAUUUGACAACCUCUGUUUCAUCCAUAUUGAGCUUCUUCUGACUUUCAACUUGCUCGAUCUCAUGUGGUAGAUUUUCAGGCAUCAUGCUUUCAUCAUACUCUUUGUGAUCUUGUUCAUCACUUUCACCUUACUCGGUGGAUUAGGUACAUGUCAUAACCGUUGAACGAGGAUUUUUAUUAACAUAAGCACUGAAAAGUGCAAAAGGUAAGUAAAAAAUAAAUAUAUAUUUAAAGUAACGAGAAAUUUUAAAAAAAAAACUAAAGACUUUUUAUUUCAAGCAUUUUAGCUUUUGGAAGAGGCAAGCAACAAAAGAUUAGGCAUGAUUCAAGCCUCAAUUUGAUCAUGCAAAUUUUAAAAUUAAAACUACUUUUCCACACUAUCAGGACUCUGGCUGAAACAGGGACGGGCUGAUGGUCCAGUUCUACAAGAUUUCUCCAGGUUCGGCAUCACGAAUGAUCAAUUUGCUGAGAUUUAUCUCCUCUUCUUCUCCAGCCAUGGCCACGAACAGUUUGCCUAUUCCUUCUACGAUGUCAUCAACGCCAGCUUGAUCGGGAAUCAAAGUUUGUUCUGGUACAAAGAUUGUAUCACUUACCCCCUGGUGGACUCUUCCCAAGCCAGGCUCGUAUCUAAGUCCGUUGGUGCCUCUCUGACGCUUCAGCUGGAUUGGCUCAACUAUGCCAUUGGACUUGGGUCCAAAUCCACUCUUUGGCUAUACCCAUACUUCAACAUCUCUUAUGCAACCAUUUUUGCUGCACUUGUCAAUUUUGUAUCUUCUGGCUCCGUUUCCUCAUUGACCUAUACAACUUGCAUGAUUUCCAAAGUGUGAAAAGUGGCUCUGUCUAACUCCUUGGUAACUGGGAUAAAAUUAACAUAAUGAAUGGGGUGACUGAGAUCCCCGUGGAUGGUGACUUUUGUACGACCCCACUCAAAUUUCACACACUGAUGAAGAGUGGAAGGAACCGCUCUUUCCAUGUGAACCCAUGGUCUUCCCAACAACAGGUUGUAGUUUGAUGAUACAUCCAUCACUUGAAACAGAAUGGGGAAUUCAGAAGGCCCUACUUGCAAUGUGAGAUAGAUCUCUCCAAUGACACUUUUUUGCGCUUCAUCAAAAGCUCUAACUUUCACACGACUUUCCCUUAUCUCUCCCAUAUUAACACCUAAAUCCCUCAGAGUGGUGAAAGAACAGAUGUUGCAUCCAGAACCACCAUAUCAUAUCACAAUAUUUGACUGUGAUGUGGAGCGCUUUGUUGUGUGAUGAGUCCGAGAUUUGGACACAUUUAGGGCUUUAUUUGUAUAGGUUUAGUGUCCUCAAAUGCUUAUUUUGUGCCAAUAACUGAUGUUAAUUCCUUGAUUUUCAAGAUUAUGGAUUGAGGAGUAAAGCAAGGACACUAAGUUGCAAAAAGGAACAAAGCGAGCUGAAAGAAUGAAGAAAAGAGAACCUGGUGAUCGCCAAGUCCAUUUGGCGAGUCGCCAAGUGGCCACUUGACCGCCUUUUGUUCCAAUAUGCCAAGCCCUAAAGGAAAGAACCAAGUUGGAGAGAGAAAGGAGCAGUCGGCAGAUCGCUGAGUGGUUCUGUGAUGCAGAAUUGGAUCGCCCAAAGUUACAGACCUUGAGGAUGCUGAAGGCCAAGGCAGAAGGGCGAUGGAAUUGACCAAAGGGCAGAUCGGCCAGUGGAUCGGCGAGCCCGACUUACUUCACCGAGUGACCCUUCGCAACACAUUUUUGAACAUUUAGUUUAGUAUAAAUUUUUAUCUUAAUUCAUAUUACAAUUCUUAUCUGAGAAUUUUGGAGAGUUUUCUCUAGUUUUUCCUAAGCUUUAGAGAAUUGAAAUUCUUCACUUUUGAGAAAUUGGAAGUGGGUCUUUGAUAUUUUCGAAUUGGAACAUUUAAAAGGCAAAAUAAAUCUUACCUAGUUGAUGAAAAUACAAUUUGGUAACGAUUUUUAUCUUUUUAUAAUUUCUAGCUAAAACCCCAAUUCUUGGGGUGUGAUUAUCUGAUUAUGGGCUGAUUUAGCUAAUGGGUGUUGCUAAUUGUUAGUGUAAUUGCUAUUUAAAAGUGAGUGCAGUCAUUUAUUGUGGGUUAAUUUAGGAAUUGCAGUAGCAAAUGUGAUUCCACCUUUGUGUUCUUGGCUUGCUUGAGAGAGAGGCCGUUUUAGAACUAAGGUAUUUGAUUGAUGGUCUGUGGGUAUUGGGUUGGCCUGGGUUCAGCUUAAGAGAGUGAAUCCUAAGCCCUUUGCCACACAUUCAGCUCGAGAGAGUGAAUGGACUAAAGUGUGGGUUGUUCUUAUCUUGCAUGCCUGUUGAUGUGCGAGAGAAAUCAACUUGAUUCAGGGUAAAUUGUUCGAGAGAAAGUUUAUCUCCUCUAUAGCCUAGCUUACUCACUGAUUUUUAGCCAUUUUUCUAAUAGUUGCAACUACCCAUUUGUCUAUAAUAGCCUAUAAUUGAAUCACAUCCCAAGAACCUGUCUCAUUUUUGUUAUUUUUUUGUAGUUUUCUAAUGUUGUAGUUGAUAAUUAAAACCCAAACCCCUUUAUUUGACAUUCGUGUCACCCCCUGAUUUAAAUUAUGUUUUUAUUCGAUAAUGUCUAUUCCUAUGACUGAUUUGACCACGUUCACACUUUACCAUUGAAUCUUAAACACAUACAGCUCCCUGUGGGAUUCGACCCCAACUCAUUUAGUUGGGUUAUAUACUAAUUAAUGAUCGUUGACGCUUAGAAUUGGAUAAAGUGUCUUUGAAACGUUAUUAAUCAAAAUGGCGUCGNNNNNNNNNNNNNNNNNNNNNNNNNNNNNNNNNNNNNNNNNNNNNNNNNNNNNNNNNNNNNNNNNNNNNNNNNNNNNNNNNNNNNNNNNNNNNNNNNNNNNNNNNNNNNNNNNNNNNNNNNNNNNNNNNNNNNNNNNNNNNNNNNNNNNNNNNNNNNNNNNNNNNNNNNNNNNNNNNNNNNNNNNNNNNNNNNNNNNNNNNNNNNNNNNNNNNNNNNNNNNNNAAGUUGAAUUUUGUUCUUGUUAGUUAUAGUUGAAUCUACUUAUUUUUAGUUUUGUUUUGUGUGUUUCUGUUUUAAACAGAGGAAAUGAGUGUGAAUGGGAGAAAUGGUAGCCAAGUGGGCCACCAAGAUGACAUCGAAAACCUCAACGAUGUCAAUAAGCCGAAUGUUAAUGACCCCCAUCUUAUGGGUGGAAUUGGUGCCACUCACUUUCCUCUAGCUGAAGGGAACGUUGUGUUCCACAUUACAAGUACCAUGUUGCAGCUCUUGCAAUUGAAAGCGGUGUUUGGUGGGUUGGCUCAUGAGGAUCCCCAUGAGCAUUUAAGUAACUUUAUUGAUGUUUGCGUGCCGUUCUCCUUCAAGAACAUAUCCCAAGAAUCGGUCCGGUUGAGGUUGUCCCCAUUUUCGUUAAUGGGAGAAGCAUGUAAGUGGUUGGCUGAAUUGCCAAGAAACUCUAUAACUUCAUGGGAAGAGCUGGUCACCGCAUUUCAAGGGUGAUUUUUCCCUUCUUCAAAGAUGAUGACACUUCGGGACAGCAUCCAAAGCUUCAAGCAUUUGAAGGGUGAUCCAAUUCAUGAGACUUGGCUAAGAUUUAAGAGUUGGUGUUGCAAUGGCCAACUCAUGGUUUGCCCGACAACGUUUUGCUGCAAUACUUUUACCGAAGCCUUGAUUCGGUGAACAAGGGAGUAGCUAACCAACUUUCUCCUGGAGGUUUGAUACAGCAACCUUACAUUAUAGCAGCCCAACUUUUUGAUGGUAUGACAAAAAUUAACCGGGCUUGGUACACCCGCGAAUAUCAAGUCUCCCCUCUCACUUUUAAAUUGACCAAGGAGCAGCUUGAGAAAGACUAGGAGAGGGACCAAAACAUGGCAAAGAUCAUGACCCAACUUAACAUUUUGUCCAAGAAUUUCAUGGGAGCUGGUUCUAGAAGUGUCAAUGAUGUGGGUGUUGGAUGUGUAAACCCCGAUGAGGCCAAGUUUGAAGCAUUGUACAACGAAAAGGUGAAUUUCCUAUCCAACCAAGGAGGUGGUUAUUGUACAAACUACCCGAGGCAGGGUGCUAACCAAGGUUGGAAUAAGAAUGAAGGCUGGAAAGAUCAUGAUAGAGAGUGGAGGGAUCGUAACCCCACUUGGAAAGAAAGAGAUGGGGAGAAGGACAGGUACAUUCCUCCCCACGAGUGUCAAAAACCAAAGGAUUUUGAGGGUGGUCAGUUUGAGGAUAUGCUUUCUCGUAUUCUCAACAAGAUUGAGGAGUCCGACAAAAUUUUGAAAGAAAUGAAGGAAGAUGUGUCGACCCUUAGUCAGACGGUUAUUUUUUUACUCCGUCUCUAUCAAACAGUUGGAGACCCAGAUGGGUCAGAUUUCGUCUCAUUUAAACUCGAGACAACAAGGGGGGUUGCCUAGUGACACUAUGGUCAACCCCAAGAAUGAGGUUUGAGUGAGAACUUGUGUCGUGCCACGACGUUAACUAAGGCGCUGCUUGGGAGUUAACCCAAGUUUUUAUUUGCUUUCUUUUUUAUUUUGGAAUAAUAGUGUGUCGAUUGUGUAGGUUGAAGUGUGGAAUGUGAGGAAAAGUGCAGGUUGGCGAGCCGAAUGUCCAGUCGGCGACUCGCCGAAGAGGUCGGCGACUCGCCGAAGAGGUCGGCGAGCCCGACUUGGACUAUCGUUGGACUCAAGAAAUAAUAAGGUUGGAGUCUAUAAAACUCGGCAGGCCCAUAGACAAGUCGACGAGUUGCCGAACAGGUCGGUGACCCCGACUUUGUCCGCCGUUUGGACCCUCACAUUAACUGGAGGUCCUGUAAAACUCGAUGAGGUAAGUGACCACUCGGUGUGUCGCUGAGUGGUUCGGCGAGCAAAAUUAAUGUCACUGAAUGGGCGAGAACUGGACGGUUUUUAAAGGCCAAAGGUUUAACAUUUCAAACUCUUUCACUUUCCCUCACUUUUUAACCUUCCAAAAUUUCACCCGCACUAUAUUUUUCCAUAUUUUCGUAUUUUUACCACUUCCUACUCGUCACUUGUGUGUUCGGAGUUGGAAAUCUUUGCCGCCUAGCUUUUCAAAUCUCGUAUUCGACAUUAAAGGUUGGUUUUCUGAACCCCGAACUAGUAUUUAGCAAUUUUACUCAUUUGCAAUUGUUUUGCUCUUAAUGAUGUGUGUUGGGCCUCUCUGAUUCCAUGUUUUUGUGCUUGUGUGAAUGCGUGCCUGUUUUAAUUUGAAUAUCUUCCCUAAAAUGCCAAUAUUGUUGAUUUCCCAAAUUUUAGUGCUUUAAAAUUUAUCUAAAUUGUUGGGUUGUGCAUAAUUGUUGUUGGGUCUAGUCAAGUGAAGUCCACGUAACCCUUAAUUGCGCUAAAUGACGUGUUUUGCUCGAUGAUGGAGCGUUUGACGUCAUUCCUAAGUGUAUGGUUUGAUUUUGUUUUCGGGGUCUGCAGGGUUGAUUUUGGAAGUCGGGAUGGAAAGUAGGCACGUUGGGCAAUUUGGCGAGCUGGGUCGAGCUCGCCAAACCACUCGGCGGUUCACCGAACCCCCCUUGAUCGCCUUUAAUUUCCUGGGUUUGAAUGCUUUUGGUUCUGUAACUUUCGGCGAGAAGUCUGACUUCACCGAGUGCACUCAGCGACUCGCCAAAUGUCUUCUUUGAUCUCCCUUUCUACGCCCCUAACCCCUAAAAUACACUGUAACUUUCGGUGGGCUUGUCUGUGCUCGCCGAAUGUUGUCGGCGAUUCGCCGAAAGGUCCCUCCCAUCGCUGACAUGCCAAUUUUCCUAGGAAGUUUUUAGCCAAUUCUUUUUGCGAGUCCAUCUGGCUCGCCAAAGUGAUUCGGUGACUCACCGAUCAGUUCGGCAAGUCUGUCUGUAACUCUUUUUCUGCAUAUUUUCUUAAACUGUUUCUAACUUUCCCCGAUGUUUUUGCAGAUAUGGCUAGACCAAAAGUGGCAGGUAGAGACAUGCCUCCCCGCAAGACGGCUAAGGGAAUAAAAAUCAAUGAGGAUGUGGCUGCAUCCCGGACCAAGGCAACCAAACUUUCCACCAUAAGUGGGAAGGGAAAAUGGAAGGGCAACGCACCUGCUCCUGCGUCACCGGAGGUCAACUCCAACAGUGAAGGAAUCUAUGCCACUCACCUCACCACUUCUGAAAGUGAGGGUGAGCACCAGGACCAUCAGGCUGCAACUUCUGAGCCUGAAGAUGAGUUAUUGUCAGCCCAGAGAGCUGAGCUACAUUCCAAGAGGAUGAAUGAUCCAUCUAGGAUCAGGACUCCCCAGGCCACUACUUCUCAUCUCGCUCCAGCACAGGCUGUGGUCAUCGCACCACCGGUACAUGGUCCUCAUCCCCGAUCUAUGAACAGACUGAAGACUGAGGGGUUGAAGACCAUUAUAGAGGAAAAAAGGUUGUCUAGUAAUUGAGUCAUAGACAUAUACCCGUAGAUCAUGAGUUGCUUGAGGUUUCACAAGUUCCAGCUGUUCAUGAAACCCCGUGGUCCUUAUGUUCCAAAUUGGGUCUGGGAAUUCUACACCGCCAACGAAUCCCUGAUGCCACAAGGGAAGAAGCAGGCCGCCAAAUUCAAGUUGGUAGACUAUGUGGUUGUCAGGGGCAGAAAAGUGAAGUGUGAUAGUGAUGCUAUCAAUGCAGUCCUGGACUUUUCAACGAGAAUUAAGGAUGACUGUCAAUACAAGAUCAGGACAAAAAUGCUGGAGAAUAUGAAGAAGUGGUUGGCUCCUCUGAUAUCUGACAGUACUCCCAAGUGGAUCAAGGUUGGAGCACCCAUUGAGAAGAAGGACCUUAAUAUAGCAACAAGGUUCUUGUUUGGCUUCAUCAGCAGUACUAUCAUGCCAUCCCAGAAUGAGUCGAUCCUCCGCCACGCAGAAGCAUCCUGUCUUGGUUGCAUCAUUACUGGGACAAGGCUGAACUUGGGGAUGAUCAUUGCACAUGAGAUGGUCAUGAGGGCCAAGCAGCGCCAAGCCUCUCUACCUUUUUCGGUGUUGAUUACCGAGCUGUGUAGACAAGCUCGGGUGCCUCGAGAUGAGAAGAAGGAUGUGGAAGUGAUUCCCACAUCUUCUACCGACAUCUGGAGGAUUAAGGCGAAGUACUUGAAGGAUGGAGCCGAGAAGAAAAAGGCAGUCCCGGUGGAAUCUUCCCCAGUUGUUGAUAUUCAGACACUACCUGCAGAGGUAGCAUUGCCUACUCUGGCCCCUGGUCCUUCAGGUGCAUCUAGUAUUGUCCCUUAUGUUAUUCCCAGUUCCUCCACUUCUCCAUUGCCUCCUAGAUCUGGUAUUGUUAUUGUUGUUGCUGCCUGAUCUUCGCUCACCUAGGUAUCAUUACUGCGGAUGGGGCAGCUAGCCUAUUCUGCUGAUAAGCACGCCUCCAGGCUUGAGGCCACCAUUCCUGGCAUGAUCGAGAGGGCCCAUGCUGAUGAUGUGACACCUCUGAGUUCUACUAUUGAUGCCCUUGCGGCAAGGAUAGUGGUGUGUGAGAGUGGCCAAGGAUCCUACUGAGGAGCUGACGGCUCUAAAGGCCAUUAUUGUUGAGCUGAGGAGAGAUGUGUACCAGCUGAAGUCCACCGACAUGUCGAUGAUUUUCGGGAUGGUGGAGAUCCUUGAUAUGCCAGUUGAUCCAGAUAUGCCUCUGGCUACCACCGGAGAUGAGCUUCGAACUGAGGAGGUAGCUACUGCCGAGUCUGAUGUUGAGACCGAUGAGGAGUAGUUGGGUGUUGAUGAGGACCCAUUCUUAUUGUUUCAUUGUUCCUAUUUGAGACAUGGAUGAACAUGAACAAACUCGAAUUACUUCAAGUGGUAGUUCUCAAAGUUGAGCAAAGGGACAAGGUAGAAGAGCAAGUCGUCGUAAGACAUAUUUCCAAGGGCGUGAAAUAAUACAGAUUGGUGUCCCAAGGGUGACAAAAAAUUUGUCAAGGAAUCAAAGGGCCAUUCAAAGGGAAAAAGAGAAAUCUUUUAAAGAAUUUAAGUCUUUGAAGAUGUCCCCUAAUAUUUCAGCACGUGAUUUUAUUCACCUUUUUGAAAUAAAAUAGGCAGAACUGGCUAAUUAUAAGGAAAUUUCAUAUUGGAGAGCCUUAGCUUAUUUAACAGACGCUCUUCGUGAACCUUGGGGUAGUAGAUUGACUGAUGUUUAUCAUGACAUUUGGCCCAGUCGGCCUUUUAUGGUGUAUAUUUGUUGUCUUGAAGACUUGUAGGAGGAUUUUAGUCUUUGAAUUACUUGUAAUUUGUUAUUGCUUAUUUGUCUUUUAAGAUAUGAAUUAUGUAGUUUUUUUUUUCUCUAUUUAUGUUAUUAGACUUAAAAAUUCUUGUUAUGAAAGUCUUCAAUAUAUUAGUGUACACAUUAAGAAGUUAGUUUCAAAUUUAGGUUAAAUAUUUAGUUCGUAGAUGAUGAUUGGAUGCAUAUGUGUCUUUUCAAUUUUACAUUAAAUACGAAACCUUUAUGAGAAUUGAUUUGCUUGAAUGUGUAUGUCACAUGCAUAAUUGAUUAAAAGUUCUUGCCUUAUUAUAUCUCAAUAACAGACAUGACAUCAAAAAGUAUCAUUGCUGACUUAAACAAAGGUGAAAAACUUAACGGUGACAAUUAUGACAUCUGGAGUCGUAAAAUAUGGUAUGUAUUCGAAGAGCAAAAUGAUCUGGAAGGUAUAAAUCAUGUUUUGAAUCAACUAGAAGAGGGUAAUUCUGCACAAUACACAAGGGAUCUUGAAGCUUUCAAAGCUUGAGAAAAAAGCUAAUUCCACUGCACGUGGAAUAAUAGUUAGUUUUGUGGUUGAUGACCUCAUACAUGAAUGUGAGGAAUUCCCUACUGCUCAUUCUAUGUGGGCAUAUAUGUGAGGAGCGUAUGUGGGUACAACUGUAACCCGCCUCCGACAGUUGACUAUCAAAUUUGAUACUUACAAAAAAUGUCAUGAUCAAAAUAUCAUACAACACCUUAGGGUGAUGUCAAACAUGAUAGCUCAACUCAAGAGUACUGGUCAUGUUCUUUCAGUUGAGCAACAGGUUCAGGCAGUGAUUCGAUCUCUUCCCAAUAAUUGGGAACAUUUGAAGGUUAACUUGACCCAUAAUAAUAGCAUCAAAACUUUUUCUGAUGUUGCACACCAUGUUGAACUUGAAGAUGAGUGCCUUAGUGCUGCUUCUAAUGCCUUUGUGGCAGAGUCAAGUGGUACAAAAUCUUCAGGCUUCAUGCGCAAGAAAAAUUGGAAAAGAAAUGGAAAAGACAAAGAGUCUGGAGAAGGACCCUCUAAGAAAAAAAAGAAGCCAAAUUCCAAGAAAGGAAAACAUUUUUUCAAGAAGAGAGACAAGAGCAAAAUAAAGUGCUACAAUUGCCAAGUAUUGGGGCAUUUUGCUCGUGAAUGUACUAAGCUGAAAAAGGUAGCAUUUCUAAAUGCAUCUCUAAGUGCUACAUAUAUUUCUAGCACUUCUUAACUAACUGAAUCUUAUCCUAUGUGAAUUGUAGACUCAGGAUACACCGACUACAUGAGUCGAGAUCGAGAAGUAUUUGUGGAGUUUUGUCAAGUUUCAUCUAAAUCAAGGUGGAUAUACAUGGGAAAUAAUGUGAAACUAGAAGUCAAAGGGAUAGGCACUUGAAAAGUAGACUUGUGUGGUGACCGUUCUUUGAUGUUGCAUGACGUCCUAUAAGCACCAGACAUUUGACAAAACUUAGUAUUUGUGAAUGUUCUUUUAGACGUUGGUUUUGAUUUGUUUUUUAGUCGUAAUGGUGCUAGAAUAACUCUAGAUAAUGUUUUAUAUGGUUUUGGAUUUUGUUAUGACUGUUUUAUCGUAUUAGAUUGUAAUCCUUCAACUUAUGACUAUUAUGUUGACCGUUGUGUAAUGACAUGUUAUUCAAGUAACAAUGAUAUUAAUGUUAUUACAUGGCAUGCAAGAUUAGGUCACAUAGGGAAAGAUUGAAUGGAUAGGUUGACAAAAGAAGGACAUUUAGGUUCUUUCACCAAAAUUGAUAUGCCAACUUGUGAAAAUUAUCUUGCUGGAAAGAUUACGCGUAAACCAUUUGGGAAGGCUAAAAGAGCUGAGUUCCCACUUCAAUUAAUUCAUUCUAAUAUUUGUGGUCCAAUGAACGUAAGGGCAAGGUUUGAUGCAACAUACUUCAUUACAUUUAUUGAUGAUUUCACGCGCUUUGGUUAUGUCUAUUUGAUAUCUCAUAAAUUUGAAGUACGUGAGUGCUUUAAAAGAUAUAUAUGAAUGAAGUUGAAAAUCAAUUAGAUAAAAGCAUAAAAGCUUUAAGAACCGAUCGAGGACGUGAAUAUUUGUCAAAACAAUUUGAANNNNNNNNNNNNNNNNNNNNNNNNNNNNNNNNNNNNNNNNNNNNNNNNNNNNNNNNNNNNNNNNNNNNNNNNNNNNNNNNNNNNNNNNNNNNNNNNNNNNNNNNNNNNNNNNNNNNNNNNNNNNNNNNNNNNNNNNNNNNNNNNNNNNNNNNNNNNNNNNNNNNNNNNNNNNNNNNNNNNNNNNNNNNNNNNNNNNNNNNNNNNNNNNNNNNNNNNNNNNNNNNNNNNNNNNNNNNNNNNNNNNNNNNNNNNNNNNNNNNNNNNNNNNNNNNNNNNNNNNNNNNNNNNNNNNNNNNNNNNNNNNNNNNNNNNNNNNNNNNNNNNNNNNNNNNNAAAAUUGAAAUGCCAACUUGUGAAAAUUGUCUUGCUAGAAAGAUUACGCGUAAACCAUUUGGGAAGGCUAAGAGAGUUGAGUUCCCACUUCAAUUAAUUAUUUAUGAUAUUUGUGGUCCAAUAAACGGAAGGGUAAGGUCUGGUCCUACAUACUUCAUUACAUUUAUUGAUGAUUUCACGCGCUUUGGUUAUGUCUAUUUGAUAUCUCAUAAAUUUGAAGUACGUGAGUGCUUUAAAAGAUAUAUAUGAAUGAAGUUGAAAAUCAAUUAGAUAAAAGCAUAAAUGCUUUAAGAACUGACCGGAGACGUGAAUAUUUGUCAAAACAAUUUGAAAAAUUAUGUAUUGAAAAGGGUAUUAUCAGACAGUUAACUAUUUUUUAUACACCACAACAAAAUGGUGUAGCUGAAAGAAGAAAUAGAACAUUAUUAGACAUGGCAAGAUCAAUGAUAGCGUAGGCGAAUUUGUCUAUCUCUUUCUGGGGAGAUGCAUUAUUGAUUGCGGCUUACAUAUUGAACAAAGUGCCUUCUAAAUCAGUGUCUUCCACUCCUUAUGAACUUUGGACUAGUCUGUGGGGGUUGUGCUACAUAUAUUAAAGAUCAUUUUUGUGAGUUUGGUAAACUAAGUCCAAAAGGAAAGAAAUGUAUCUUUAUAAGGUACUAUGAACGCUCCGAAGGGUAUGUGUUCAUCGAUGAACUGGAGGAUGGAAGUAUUACUGAAAUUAUAUCACGGGGAUGUUAGAUUUUAAAAAAAUAUUUUUUCCAAAAAGGGUGAAAUAGAUGAAGUUGUUGAAUUCAGAAGAUUAGGUAAUGUUGUCAGGCAUACUUGAUAAUUUAAAGGAUCAAGAAAUGAUUCUUGGUCCAAGUGGGAGUUAUGAAUCCCAAAAUCCUAUAGAGGAAUAUGAACUUCAAAUACGUAAGAGUACAAGAAAAGGUGUACCUAAACGAUCUUAUCAGAUUGAGGAUUAUGUUUUCUUGGUAUCUCCUAUAGAAUUGGAUGAACCUAAUUCUGUAACUGAGGCUUUAUCAAGCCCUAAAAGAGAUGAAUGAUUAAAAGCGAUGAAAGAAGAAUUAGAGUCCAUGAAAACUAACAAAGUCUGGGAUCUAGUUGACCUUCCAAAUGAAUGUAAAGCUAUUGGGAAUAAAUGGAUUCUCAAAGUUAAACGCAAAAUGGAUGGAUCAAUAGAAAGACACACAGUACGAUUGGUGGCAAAAAGUUUUACUCAAAAAGUUGGAAUAGACUAUGAGGAAACUUUUUCACUAGUUGUAAAGUUUACCUCCAUAUGAUUACUUUUAGCUAUUGUUGCACGUUUAGAUCUAGAAUUACACCAAAUGGAUGUGAAGACUACUUUUCUCAAUGGAGAAUUAAACGAGGAAAUUUACAUGGAACAACCAAUAGGUUUCGUUGCUAAAGGCCAAGAAAAGAAAGUUUAUAAAUUGAAAAGAUCAAUUUAUGGCUUAAAGCAAUCUUCAAGGCAGUGGUACCUGAGAUUUCAUAAGAAGGUGAUGUCAUUUGAUUUCACCAUGAUUGGUGAAGACCAUUGCAUCUAUGUGAAAAAUUCCAAUGAAAAUUUUAUAAUUCUUUUUCUCUACGUAGAUGAUAUUUUAUUAGCUGGAAAUCAUUUGGAGUAUGUGAAAACUGUAAAGUCAUGGCUUUCAAAAUUAUUUGAUAUGAAAGAUAUGGGUGAAGCAGACCAUAUAUUGGGUGUUAAGAUCCAAAGAGAUCGUUCCAAGAAAAUUUUAAGCUAAUAUCAAGAAACUUAUAUAAAGAAAAUAUUGGAACGUUUUUUAAGGAGUGAAACUUUAAGCCUUGAAAUGUGUCCAAAGACUGAAAAAGAAAAGGAAUACAUGUCUCGAGUUCCUUACUCUAGUGCUGUCGGGAGUUUGAUGUAUGCUAUGAAGUGUACUCGCCCAGACAUUUGUAAUGUCGUGAGUCUAGUUAGCAGGUAUCAUUCCAAUCCUGAAAGAGAUCAUUGGAAAUAUGUAAAAAGAAUAUUUUGAUACCUGAAGGGAGCUGCAGAUCAUACACUAUGUUAUAAUGGAUCUGAUUUAUUCAUAAGAGGUUAUACAUAUGUUGAUUGGGCUGGUGACCGGAAUGAUAGAAAAUCAACAUCUGGUUAUGCUUUCUUACUAAAUGGUGGUGCUAUUUCAUGGAAAAGUAAGAAGCAAACUUGCACAACCCUUUCAACCAUGGAAUCUGAAUUUGUGGCUUGUGCGUCUACAGUAUAAUAAGUUGUUUGGUUAAAGAGAUUCUUUGAGCAUUUGAGUAUUGCAAAGAAUUCUAAGAGUCCCAUGAUUCUAUAUUGUGAUAAUCAAGCGACUAUCGCAUACACGAAGGAUCCUAAGUAUCACAGCAAGACCAAACAUAUUGACAUCAAGUAUAACUUUGUAAGAGACGUAGUGGCAAGUGGAGAAAUAACUUUGCAGUACAUUCCUACACGUGAAAUGAUAGCUGAUCCUUUUACAAAAGUCAUCUCUAGAGACUUGUUUGAAAUACAUGUUAAGGCUCUAGGUUGGGUAGGAUUUGAUGUUAUUUCAGUAUUGUAAAAUAACUUAAUUGUCAUAAUAUGCUCUUUUAUAUAAUACUACUGGAUUUAUCUUCAAAUAUAAUAUGCAUGCGAUAAUUUGUAAGAAAUAAAGUGUGUCGAACAAGUCGUGAGAUUGACUCCCUCACACGAGUAAUCGUCUCUUACGUCAAGAAACGUGAAGAGAUGAAUUUCACCAUCAUAUUAUGACUUUGUUUUAUGAGCCAGAUAAAAGUUUCUCUAAGAAAAUGAAUUUAAGGAUCACUGAAGAGAGAAACUAGGGUUAAACAUUUAGAGGUGUUUAGACCAAAGUAUGUACGAUGUUAGAUAAUCGGAAGAAUGAGACACAUACACCAGUAUAAGGUGAAAACAUUGUAGCACGUGUUUCAUACCACGUGUGUCAAGCGAUCAAUGGGUCAAUGAAAGAAUGUUCCCUGCUUCUUCAUUGUGUGAGACCCCGAAAAGUUAAAAUGACUUUUCAAUGAAAUACCCUUUGACCUUUUGAUAUUUCUUAAAGUUUCAAUCGAUGUUGCUACUUUAGCAUGUUACUUAUAGCCAUGAAUGAUUCAGCAAUGCAGUGCAUAUCUAGGAAAGCAGUUGAAUAAGAACAUAUUGAUUCGAGUAGAAAGGAAAGACAAUUAAUUGAAUAAUAAACUUAUAUACACAAGCCGGCUAUUGCACUAACCAUAUUGGUAUUGAGUGUAAUUUUGUGUAUAAAGUAAAACAUGAACUCGAGUUAACCUCUUUAAGAGGAUGGGUGAUCGAAUAAAUAACUACUGAAGUAGUGAAUGAAGUCCGGAGUAUUGUGAGUUUGUAUUAUCAUAUAAGUAGUGAAUUCCUUCCACAUGUGAUUGGAUUCCUACGUGGGGCUUAUAAAACCUUCAAGGUAAUCUCUUGAUGCUCACAAGUCGCACAAGCUAUUUGUCGUAUGAAUUGUGUGUCUGUUAAUGUUGUGUUAGCUUGGGUCUUGUCCACCAUGUGCGAAGUGGGAGAUGUAAGUUUUGGGUCGUGGAUCGCCCAUGUGGACCAACCCGACCCGAUCUUACCCGAUCAAAGUUAUUUUCUAUAAAAUGGAUAAGUGAUAAUUUUAAAAAAGGAUGGGAACAAUUACAUAGUAACUGCUCCAACGUAAACAUUCCAUUUUUUUUAAAUAUAAAUUUUACGCUCUUCAAAAAGAAAAAAAGAAGAAGAAAACAAAAACAGAAAACUCAACAAAAGGUAACAGUUUCUUCUAAGAAAAAAAGACAUCCAACAAAAGAGGCAUUUAGUUUGUGAAACAAAAUUUUGUUUCCUAGUGAUACAAAGAAGGAUUUGGAGCAAGUCAUUCAGUUCAUGAAACUCAUUCAACUGCAAACAAUUAAAGGUACACAAAUCUUGUACCAAAAUAUUGUUUAAAUCUUUCAGUUCACACCAAUUUACUAUGGUCUUGCUAUAAAAGUAUGAAGAAAUAAUGUCUAAGGUCUACCCAGAGAGUAUGUAGAAAUAAUAUCUAAGAUUAUCCUUUUAUGAAUUUCACAUGAUGUAGAGUGAGCAUGUAUUCAAUUCAUUUCAUCUUCAUUGAUGGGUCGAUGAUGUGCACUAAUUUGUACUUUACAUUUUCUCAUAUUUUGAUUGAUUUUCGUUCUAAAUGACAAGCCCCUAGCUGUUGAAUCAUACUUUUCUUUGAGUUUUAAUUUAGCUUUUGCAAUGAGUGAAAAUUAUAGAGUAUUUUAAAUGUAGUAAUCACACGAGUAACAAAUUAUUGUACACAAGAUAGAAUUAGCUUAGACUAUGCAGUGAAUUUCAAUUCAUCUGACUACGAUGCUCACAUUUUUUUGCUAUAAACCAAAAUGUUCUAAAAGCAAACUAAUGGCAUGUAGAUGCAAGGUAUAGGAGGAACAUGAAAUGUUGCUGUAGAAAAGGGGUAAGAGACUUUCUCAACAACAAGGUGAUUCAAAUAUAUUUCUUUCACUUUUGCAGAUAGUUGACUGCUUCUCAUGAUGAUACAUAUAAUUGCUUUGAGCCUAAACCAUACAAUUCAAUGCCAUAGGGAAGUGUGAGAUAUGAUAUACAUUCACUUGUUAAAAAAAUAUGAGUGAAGAGGAGAUGAAUGGAGGAGAGUAAGGGAUGUAAAUAGAACUAGGAAAUCGCAUAAUGAAGUAUCUUUAAGUUCUAUAUGAACAUAGUGUUACUAUUUAAUUUCAUUGUGAAUUGCUUACCUUUUCUCAUUUAUUUAGAUCUUGAGUAGCAGCUAGCAAUAUCAAUUGAUUUCAAAUGUAAUAUGGUUGGAUAAAAUAUCUAUUUCAUAUUGGACCUGUGCAAGCACUGGAUUAGUAUUUAUAUGCAGAAGUAAAAAUUUAAAAAACAAAAACAACAUGUAUUUUCAAAUGAAUUUUUUUUAAUAUUAAAAUAUAUACUCAUAUAUUUUCCUAGUAAUUUCCAAUUCAACGAAGGAAAAGGAAAAGGAGAAAAUGUGGACGCGCUAUUAAAUGCGCGUAUAUCCUAAUAGGAACCGCUCAACUACAGCCACGUCAUUGUCUCUGUUUAGUUUUUUUUUUUGUUUUUUUUAUGUUUCCAAGACCGCCUUUGAUUUCUUUAUAAGCCCUUCUCCCUUUCUCCCUUUCCAUCUCCACAAAUAAACUUGCUUCUGUUCUUUCUUCCUAUAUCCUAUAUAUAUAAUAUUUAUUUUGUUCCAUUAUACCUCAAUUAAUUUUUUUAUCCGAUCUAUUCCGAUGGCCGGAGUUGCCCUUCUUCAACCACAAGAUGUUCUCAAACAUCAUGUAAGCUAUCGUCAACCUAUGAGAUCUCGACGGAAUUCCACUUCUAACCCUCUACCAAAUCCUAACCCUAACCCUAAGAAUAACCGAAGAAAGCGAAGUCCACAAAAAAAUGGAUCUGCUAACUUUUCAACUUGUCCUCCUAGUGCUAAAAAUCUCCAUCUGGUGAUGGGAGAGGUGAAAAUUCUGAAGCGUGGUCAAGUGUUGAAGGAAAACAAGCUUGUCACUGGUGAAGAUCUGGUGUUGUCCACUUCAGAUCGGCUGGGUCCAGAGCCGGAUAUGGUGCCUAAGAACAUAACGAUUGCUCAUUUCUAUGCUGGAUCGGGUUUCUCCUCCUCCUCGCCGCCACCGAGCUCUUUGCCUGUGCCGGCUUUCUUCAAGAAGGAAAGUGAACAUAACCUCCACGCUACAAGCGACUUGAGGCGUCUUCUCAGGAUCGAUCUGGCCGACUAAUUGAACAGUUAUGGGAUGUUUCAAUGACGACGACGACGACGAUAGAGUCUUAAGUUUGUGUUUUGCUCCCGGCUCGUGAAAGCUUCCCUUAUUUUUUCAAGGGGAAGGACGAGUUGGUCAAGCAAUUUAUCAUAUUUUCUUAUUUAGGUCUUUUAAUUUACCUUUAAUUAUAGCAGAAAAGUAGAUCUAGUUAGGCUGUUGAUUUGGGCUGUAUAGUCUAGUCAUAAGUUUGGGUUUUUCCGUUUUAAUCGCCUGCUAUAUUAUUGUAGCGUCAGUUGGUCUAGUUUCAGUCGGCUAGUGGUUUAGAGCCAUUAGCAUAUCCUUCUGUAAUUUAUGUCUCUUUGAUUUUAUAUGUAGCUUCAGCAGUAAUUAGAAAUAUUAUUACUUUUGUGUCAUUACACUGUUGUGCUUCCGGUAUAUCAUAUGAUUUUUCUGCUGUUAUGAGCUUUUUAUUGUAUUGUAAAUUUUUUUGCUUUUGUUCUGUCCUUGAUAAGUCUCUCUUUUAUAUCAUAUGAAUCAGUGUAACAAAUUAACUUUGUGUCUCAUUGUUUUGUGCUAACAAAAUCAUCUAAUAGUGGAAAUCUGCAUGUUUUAAUCUUUCACCAUCACAUUAUUUGGAUGGUUAAUUGGUAAGGCCUCAUUUCAUUUGUGAUGUUUUUCAUGUUUUGUUAGUUGUGAAACUGAAACUGCUUUAAUUCUUAAUAUAGUUUGGCAGAUUUAUCAUGGUCUGGAGCUCUGGAAAGUCCUUUCAGAUAUAAGUUGCACUGCAAAUAUUUUUCUGCUGAGGUUCAAAUCUUACUUCCAAAUGUAUAGGCUUUCUCUUGUUUGCUUUUCUGUAUGCAUUCUUUGAGCAAAAGUUUUAUCUUUUGGCUGAAUUCUUGGAUCAGAAUGUCCUUCUGUCACCCGUAUGUGCUAACUCAUGUGAUUUUUCACAUAUAAUGUAGGAAUCUGUGGCAACAGACGGUGGGCUACAUUUGCCAAAGCAAAAGAGUGAGAACUAUCUAAUCUUGUACAGCUGUGAAAAUUUUCAAGUCUGAUAGUUGACAAAGUGAAGAGCAGAACUCUUAAUGGGCAACAGGAGGGGAAGUGGAGUGUAGCCAAUGAAUGCAAAAUUGUCAUGGCUGCAUGUGUUGUCUGGGUAGUAUCCUCAAAAUCAGACCUUGAGCUAUGUUGGUUUAUUUGAUUUAAGCUUAUUUACUUUGAUUUUCAUACUUAAUUUUGCUAUUUGAUUUUUCGUCUGAUUUAUUCAUCAGUUAGUACGUGUGAUUUUAGUGUAGUUACUUUAGCAGUUCCCUUUUAAAUCUGCUUUUCUAGAAGUAGGUGUUAUUAACUGUAUGCUUCUGUAUUAUUCAUUCAAGUAGGGUUAUCAACUGUAUGCUUUUCCAUGUAUUAUCCAUUCGUGUGCAAGCAUGGAUACAUCUCUCACUAACCUUCUGCUCUCCAAACCCCUCCCUCAACCAUGAAAUAAGAGAGAAAAAUAGAACAUAUGAAAGGAUUGAUCAGUUCCUUCCGUCUGAAAGGUUGACUUGCAUGAUAUGCUACUAUGGUCAGAAUAGAUAUAUAUAUUUCUAACUCUAUAGUAAGUACCGGUCUCCAAGUCCUUUGUCAUCCAGGGUUAUGUUGGUAAUUUCAAUUUGAAACCCCUUGUAAAACCAAUAUAGGAAAGAUUCUGUUCUAAAUUGAUAUUAGUACACGCGUAUUUUCUUAUGAUACCUGUUUCACACUUCUCUUCCUUCAUAUCAAUAGUCAAUACUUUGUUGAGUCUGCUAAAGUCCCCCAUUUUCAUUUCCUUCUCUUACAUUUGUUUCUCCUUUGCUUAUGGUUUUCCUUUUAAGGUUGUUUUUGGAAAUUUUUUACUGUCAUGCUUUUUCAGUUCUCUUUGGUUUUCACUCUUUUUUACCACUAAGUCAGCUCUUGUUGUGCUGAAAUAAAGCCUUGACAAUCCCAAAUGCUACCCUACAAACAUCAAAUGCAAGCCAAACAAGUAAAUGCAACUCUUCACUCGCUGUUUGUGUUACCUUCUUACAUAACCUUCUGUUACAAGGCAUUCACAGUAGAAUCUUUAUGUGAAAUCAACUUGGUACAUACAAAGUUUGUUCUCCAGCUUAUAUACUGUAUGAACAAGAAUUGUUGGCAACUCUUUUUUACUUCAAAGCUUCAGUUGAUUUUGUAAUUUUAAUUUGAACAUUUGAUACGUCAAGAGUAAAUGCAACUGUAAUAAACAUGAUACCAGAAACUAUUCUUGGAAUGCAUAUCUUUGGUGUUGAGAAUAGGUCACACAACUUGAGUUAAUUAAAAUCUCCAUUUCUUUUUGCUACUUUCAACUUCUCUACAAAAGUAUUGUAACCACCAUUUCCCUUUUAGUGUCUUCAGGUUUUCUACAUAGCUCCUAAACAAGUGUGGUCAGUGUAGAGCUGUGUUUGCUUCUACAUUAUGACAAGGUAAUGCUAGUGUGCGGUGAGCGAGCAUGCUCUGUGUACAAUUAAGCAAAGAGUUGCUGAAGGUUGGAACGGAAUAUCGUAUGUAGUGUUGAAUGCAAUCUGAACCUCCUUUUACUUUCAGCCCUCAGCUUGGUUCUUCUUCCUCUUUCCUUUUUGUUCACAAUUUUUUCUUAUGUUUUUAUUAAUUUCGGUGUUAUUCAUUUUUGCUCUUUUUGGGUUUUUAAAACACCAACAGAGCUUCAAUAUUGCAAUUGAUCAUUGAGAUGUUGAAUUGUCUGCCUUUUAUUUUCAUUAAGGAGUUAAAAGUUUAAUUGUAUCAUUUGAAAUUGGGUUUUAAGAUAUCAAAUAAAGUUUGAUUUCAGGGAUGGACCAAACAAUUUGAAAGUUCCGGGUAUACAUGAAAAGAACUACAUAGAAGUUGCUUGAUGAGUGCCUCACACUGAGAGGGUAAGUCAUGAAAAUCAGAAAAUUUCUUCACCUUUAUUUAUAUCAAUACUUAGGUGCAUCUUUGUUUCUUGCUUUGAUUUCCUAGAAUAGUAUUUUGAGUAUGAAAAAUGGGUCCUUCAGAGUGAAAUUGAUGUUUAUAAAUCAAAUUACCGAAUAUAUUUUUCAAAAAUAAAUAAUCAUCGGUGUAUAUGACUGGAGAAGAAACUCAGACAUCUGAGAAAAAUAUUCUUAUUGGGUUUUCAGUAGACGGGACCUUACUUAAAUUGACAUUUUCAUGCAAAUUAGUUGCACUCUUUGGUGCUUAUACGUGGGGUAGUAGGCUUAGUAGUUAUCUUUAUGCUUUAUGUAACACCUCUGGAUCUUCGAUGACUAUUUAUCAAAAUUGAAAUGUUUCCUCAUCUUAUUUCUUUUAAAAGGCUGAUUCUAUGUCCUCUAUAGUCAUGUUACAAUCAAUCGUCUGUCCAAUGGUGAGGAGCCAAAUUAUCUCUCUGCAAGUAUGGAAAUGAUACGUGGUACACCCGAUUCUUGACGAACUCGAGAGGCAAAGAGAAUGGUUGGGUGGCGAGGCAUCACUUCUUACAAGGUUUGAUGCUAUUUUAUUGGUUGGGUGGCAAGGCAUCACUUCUUACAAGGUUUGAUGCUAUUUUA
rnacentral:lncRNA from 1 species